GAUGAACGCUAGCGGGAGGCCUAACACAUGCAAGCCGAGCGGUAUUGUUUCUUCGGAAAUGAGAGAGCGGCGUACGGGUGCGUAACACGUGUGCAACCUGCCUUUAUCUGGGGGAUAGCCUUUCGAAAGGAAGAUUAAUACUCCAUAAUAUAUUGAACGGCAUCGUUUAAUAUUGAAAGCUCCGGCGGAUAGAGAUGGGCACGCGCAAGAUUAGCUAGUUGGUGAGGUAACGGCUCACCAAGGCGAUGAUCUUUAGGGGGCCUGAGAGGGUGAUCCCCCAGAGGGGGACUGGGACACGGAGCAGAGUGAUACGGGAGGGAGCAGUGAGGGAGGCUGAAGAAUGGGUGCUAGCAUGAACCAGGGAUCCCGCGUGAAGGACGGCUGCGCGAUGGGUUGUAGACUUCUGUUGGAUAGGGAUAAACCUACGCGCGGGAGGGUAGCUGAAGGUAAUGGACGAAUAAGCACCGGCUAACUACGUG
rnacentral:rRNA from 1 species